rnacentral:rRNA from 1 species
AGCAGUCGCCGCGGUAACACAGAGGGUGCGAGCGUUAAUCGGAUUUACUGGGCGUAAAGCGUGCGUAGGCGGCUUUUUAAGUCGGAUGUGAAAUCCCUGAGCUUAACUUAGGAAUUGCAUUCGAUACUGGGAAGCUAGAGUAUGGGAGAGGAUGGUAGAAUUCCAGGUGUAGCGGUGAAAUGCGUAGAGAUCUGGAGGAAUACCGAUGGCGAAGGCAGCCAUCUGGCCUAAUACUGACGCUGAGGUACGAAAGCAUGGGGAGCAAACAGGAUUAGAUACCCCCGUAGUCCCUGUCUCUUAUAU